rnacentral:misc_RNA from 1 species
AUGGGAUCAAAGGGCACAGAAGAAUACUUCACUGUACAAUGGUAAAAAGUUCCGGUAUGGAGGGUAUAACAUCCAUAGUGGAGAUGGAUCACACCAAGAUUCUCAUGUAUGGCUUCACCUUGGUUUGACGGAUUAUAGGACUUUUGUUGGGACAAACUUAAGUCCUUUUUGGGAAAAGUUCCUUGUUCCAUCAGAAGAUGACCCUAUACAAUGUCAACAUACGUCAAGUCCACUGGGUAACGGCGC